rnacentral:rRNA from 1 species
GUAGGGGGCAAGCGUUGUCCGGAUUUAUUGGGCGUAAAGAGCGUGUAGGCGGCCAGGUAGGUCCGCUGUGAAAACUCGAGGCUCAACCUCGAGAUGUCGGCGGAAACCAUCUGGCUAGAGUCCGGAAGAGGAGAAUGGAAUUCCCGGUGUAGCGGUGAAAUGCGCAGAUAUCGGGAAGAACACCCGUGGCGAAGGCGGUUCUCUGGGACGGUACUGACGCUGAGACGCGAAAGCGUGGGGAGCGAACAGGAUUAGAUACCCUGGUAGUCCACGCCGUAAACGAUGGGAACUAGGUGUGGGCGGUGUCGACUCCGUCCGUGCCGAAGCUAACGCAUUAAGUUCCCCGCCUGGGGAGUACGGCCGCAAGGCUAAA